UACGGGGGGGGGCAAGCGUUGUUCGGAAUUACUGGGCGUAAAGGGCUCGUAGGCGGCCAACUAAGUCGGACGUGAAAUCCCCAGGCUCAACCUGGGAACUGCGUCUGAUACUGGAUGGCUUGAAUCCGGGAGAGGGAUGCAGAAUUCCAGGUGUAGCGGUGAAAUGCGCAGAUAUCAGGAAGAACACCCGUGGCUAAGGCGGCUCUCUAGUACGGUACUGACGCUGAGACGCGAAAGCGUGGGGAGCGAACAGG
rnacentral:rRNA from 1 species